CCCCUCUCAGGGUCGCCCCUGGAGAGUUUCUAGCACUCUACUCGUCUCGGCUACGAGACGGAGAGUCUAGCAGAGGCCUACCCAUUCCAUUCCUAGCUUGGGUAGUGGCUAGCGGGUGGAAGGCAAUCUGCUACAAGU